UGAACGACUCUCGGCAACGGAUAUCUCGGCUCUCGCAUCGAUGAAGAACGCAGCGAAAUGCGAUACUUGGUGUGAAUUGCAGAAUCCCGUGAACCAUCGAGUUUUUGAACGCAAGUUGCGCCCAAAGCCCUCGGGCUAAGGGCACGUCUGCCUGGGUGUCACGC
rnacentral:rRNA from 1 species